AUGCAGCUCCAUCCUCAUCUCCCUACUCCCACUGCUACUUACUACUCCUUUAUCUACUUAGGUCUGGUUUCCACAAAACCUCUCCAUGGGCUUCCUUGCCUCCAACUGCAAUCCCCCAAACCACUGAACCAUGAUCUCCAUCACAUGGCUUCCAAGAAACUUCCCUUCCUCUUGGUGUACCUGGGAGCUCUCUGCCUGACUCAUCCUCUCACCAGUAUGCUGGGGCCACCUAGAGCAAGGGCAACAACCUCUUGCUGUCCCCUGUGUGUCUUUACAGGCCAAAGGAUUUUCUUCCUGUUAACAUGCUUCUCGAGGGCAAGGAGAAGUUCUGAGGAGGAGUUCCAGUCCCCAGCCCUUGCCGUGAAAAAUUACAUACAUUUUUCUCCACUGAUUUAUUUAUCUCUGAUGAUUUAUUGGGAUUAUUUUGGCCUCUGUCAUAAUCUUUUUAGAAAACAAAUGCCCAAGAUUCAAAAAUAUCAAAAAGAGCAAAAAGGAUAUUUAAUGAAAAGGACCCUGGCCCCAGUUCCCUUGCCCAGAAACAAGUAAGAUUACCAAUUGUUUAUCCUUCCAG
rnacentral:lncRNA from 1 species